rnacentral:tRNA from 1 species
GCGCUGUAGCAUAACGGUAGUGCAUGGCACUUUGACUGCCUAGACAUAGGUUCAACUCCUAUCAGCGCCG